AUACGUAGGGAGUAAGCGUUGUCCGGAUUUAUUGGGUGUAAAGGGUGCGUAGGCGGCUUUGCAAGUCAGGCGUGUAAUUCAGAGGCUUAACCUCUGAACUGCGCUUGAAACUGCUUGGCUUGAGUGAAGUAGAGGCAGAUGGAAUUUCCAGUGUAGACGGUAAAAUGCAUAGAUAUUGGAAGGAACACCGGUGGCGAAGGCGAUCUGCUGGGCUUUAACUGACGCUGAGGCACGAAAGUGUGGGGAGC
rnacentral:rRNA from 1 species